CUGACCUUCAAUAUUAUUAGCUAUGAAGAGGCACAAUAGCAAGGCGUGACAAAAGAUUAAGAUGGUGGCAUACAGGUUUCAAGGGGCCUCAGUAAGGGAGACAGUGGAGUGUGGAGUUUUGAGGGCAUAUGAUGCUCUGGGUGACUGGGUUUCUGAGGUCAAAAGUCUCACUCUCCACCCCCAGGCCGCUGCACCUGGCCAUUAUCCAUGGGCAGACUGGUGUCAUUGAGCAGAUAGCCCAAGUCAUUUAUCAUGCUCAGUACCUUGGGGUCAUCAACCUCACCAAUCACCUGCACCAGACACCUCUGCACCUGGCAGUAAUCACUGGGCAGACACGGGUGGUGAGCUUCCUGCUGCAGGUGGGUGCAGACCCCACACUGCUGGAUCGCCAUGGUGA
rnacentral:lncRNA from 1 species